CAGUCGCCACGGUAAUACGUAGGUGGCAAGCGUUGUCCGGAAUUAUUGGGCGUAAAGCGCGCGCAGGUGGUUUAAUAAGUCUGAUGUGAAAGCCCACGGUUCAACCGUGGAGGGUCAUUGGAAACUGUAUGCCUUGAGUGCAGGAGAGGAAAGCGGAAUUCCCAGUGUAGCGGUGAAAUACGUAGAUAUUGGGAGGAACACCAGUGGCGAAGGCGGCUUUCUGGACUGCAACUGACGCUGAGGCUCGAAAGCCAGGGGAGCGAACGGGAUUAGAUACCCGUGUAGUCCCUGUCUCUUAUAC
rnacentral:rRNA from 1 species